rnacentral:lncRNA from 1 species
UCCCCUUGCACUGUUCCCUCCCCCAGUUUCUUUCCCUCCACCGCCCACUCCAGAAAGGAGCCUGAGGAGGAGGUGACUGUUCCACGCCAUUGAGGCAACCAUGAGAGAUAAAUAUUCCCCAACAUGUAUCUGCUCUUCAGAUGAGCAUAGUUGACAGCAGUACUGCAGCACAAAGAAAAAAGCUUCAAGAUAUCAAUUAA